rnacentral:lncRNA from 1 species
UGGAAGUGAACUUCCACUACUGCAAUGAAUGCAGCAGCCAUUAUGGGGAUUAAAAUACAAACGCCCAAAUAUACAGAGGUCAGUUUGCAGUGGAAGCCAAUUCUGAUCCCAUGACCAAGCAAAUCCUAUCGUCUUUCUCUUUAUUGGGUUUAGGUUUCCAAGAAUUGUAUUCCUUUAUUUAGUACAUUGUAUUAAAAAAAGAAAAGUUAAAUGCCUUGUAGAAAACGUGUUGCCUUCUGGGCUUUUACAGGAUUUAGCUACAUGGAGACAGAUUUCAGUACUUCCCCAAAGCUCAUGUAGUUUCUCAUUCUGCUCGUUGAACUCCAAGAUGAUUUACUAAUGAGUAGAUUUAUUUAAGCACAAGCCAAAACUCUGCUAAUUUUUAUGCACAAGCACCAUUUGUUAUUUUGAAUAGCAAAAGGGUAGCGGUGGUUUUGUUGUUAUUUUGUGGAUUUCUUUUUUAAAGGAAUCAAAAGGUAAAAAUAUGACCCCUCAUACUUCAAUGUAUCACUGUUAGUGAAGCAAGACCAAGGUUCAACUUUAUUUCAACAGAAGAUACAGAAUCUAUGCAGCAUGGAAAUAUCCACAUGGAAUAUAUUGCCUAAGCAAACAGCUACCACAGAGACUGAUUUAAAAAAAAAAAUAAAGGAGAUCUUAGUACACAAAAGAAAGUGUCAAAGUCAACACUGACCUUUUCAUGCCUCUUAAGCAGCUGAUGCCUCUGCAUGAAGUACUGAUCCUUGAGUUGCUGUUUGAGGAGCUGGUGUUUCUCUUGUAGAUGUCGCUCCUCCAGCUCCCAGAUCGCAGCUUCACGAGCUGAAGAGAGAAGGCAGGUUCAGAAAGUACAACACAAUCCUUAUUAACCCACCUGCAAGUGUAUGUUUAGAAGUGGCCUACAAUCACAUUUUAAGAGCAACGCUAUUCUAUAAGCAGAAGGUUUUAUUAUUGUUCCAUAUUAGCAUUUUAUUGAAAUGCAGCACAAAUAACUUCCUUUAAGGAGAGACUCACCUCUCAUGAGCUGCUGUUUGCUGUUGAGGCAAUCUCGUUCAAUAGUGGCUAGUUCGGUCUUUUGCUGCUGAAUAAUUUUCUUCAGAGACGCAUCCAGUUCUUGUUGCUGUUUCUGUACAAACUCCUGCUCCUCCUUCUUCUUGUUCUUCAGCAUGUUCUGGAAUUUGGACAGCUCUUUCUCCUGCUCUGCUUUGAUGCGUUUCGCUUCAUCUCGUAACCGAUUUGUGUGCUCCUGCUCCAAGCGCUCUAUCGUCUGCUUCUGCUGCUUCUCCAGAUUCUCUAUUUCUUGGUCGUACUGCCGCUUCUUACUUGUCAUUUCCUGUUCAAAACGCCUGUACAUCUGUUCCCGCUGUUGCAGGAGCUUGUUGCUGAGCUGCUGUUGGGCUCUCUGCUCCUCCUUCUGAAGAAGCCUCAGCUCUCUCAGCUCCUGACGCCGCAGAAAUCUCAUUUCUUCACUUUUGGAGUCAUUUUCAGUAACUAUUUUUGAUGUUGUUACGCUCACUUCUACUCCAUCAACAACGAACUUCCGAGUUUUCUUUAAAGUUUUCUUCUGCCUCCUCGUUUCCUGUAAAGAUAUGGAUCCUGUCUCCUUGUUUUUACUAAGGAAACUAGAAAUUGACAAGUUCAAAUCAAUGCUGCUGUUAUCAGCCGUAGAACCCGUGCCCGAAUCUGCAUCAUUUUCCUUCAGGCUCUCAGACUCCAGCUGCUGUAACGUUUCGGUACUGUCUUGAUUAUCCAUUUUGACCUUUUCAUUAUUUUCUUCAGUGCUAAUACUAAUACUGGGGACCGGAGUGAGUUCAGAGUCAUCAGCUUGUUCGUUGGUAGUGUCUUGAAGCUUAUUCUUCAUUAUUUUAUCAGAAGAAACUUCUGGUUGCUCUUUGUCCGUUCGAAUAUUGUUUUCCUGGAUAUUCUCAGCUCUGUGCUUUUCUGGAUUCUGGUCCAUCUCAGUCUGUUCAUCCACCAUUUUAUUAGAAAUAUCCUCAGGCUUGUCCUGUAUUGCCUUCUGGCCUACAUCAUCUUCUCUGGAGUCUUUGCUCUCCAUUUCCUCCAUGCUACUUAUUUUACAGAUAUUCUCAUUUUCACUUUCUGCCAGCUUCUUCUCUACUUUGAUCUCUUUAUCUUGGCUUUCUGAUAGAGUUUCUUCAGAGCUGAUUAUCUCAAGGACCUGCUUAGCCUGACUUUCCACUGGCUUAUCCGAUGUCUCAGGUAUUUUAUCCCCAUCGCUGAUCUGUGUUUCAGCAAUACCACCUAUCUCCUUAAUGUUUUCAAUUCCAUGUUUUAUGAGUUCCUUUUCUUCAUCUGACACUUUAUCCUCAGCACUAGGUACAGAGUCUGUAAUGACAUCUUUCAUUGCUUCUUUCUGAGCUUCAUCUUCAUCUUCCCUUUGCUCUGUGAUAUUUUCUGCAGUGACCUUUUCAUUCUCGCUCUCUGAGAGAUCUAUUCUGAUUUCCUCCUCUUUUUCACCAGUUUCCUCAGAAACGGCUUCUCCAGUUUCUACACUAUCAUCAAUCCCGGGCACCACUUUCAGUUCAUUUUCCUCUCUUUGUUCAUUUCCUAUGUCAUUUUCUUUCUCUGUUUUUAAGUUGUGUUCAUCCUUUAUUUCUGAUAUUGUUACCGCAUUAAGUUCUUUCCUUCCUUUCUGAGGUUCUGUAUCUUCAGCUGUCUCUUCCAGACUUUCUGUAUUCUUUUCAAUUGGCAAUAUUUUGCCUUGCUCAACUUCACCAGUUGGCACAGAACCAUUCUGCACUUUGAUAUCACCACCAACACCAUCAGGUAUGCUUUCAGCUGUUUUCCUACUUUUAAUGUCCUGAGAUUCAUCUUCAAUUGUUUUAUCAUCUGGAAACAUAGUGUUGCUUUUCUCCUCAGUUACAUUACUUUCUGUUUUCUCAGAAAGAGAUUCCAGAACAGAGGCGUUCUGUGAAAGCUUAUCCUCUUCAGAGCUGGCAAUACUAAGGUCAGAAGAUGCACGCUUGUCUGCAGGUAACUGCUGAAAAAUUAAAGAAAGAAAAAUAUUUAAUCACUUUCAAUUUUACCUAAAGCACAGUCCUACUGAAGAAUAUCCG